rnacentral:lncRNA from 1 species
GCAGAGUUGACAUGAGGCUGGAAAGGUGACACCAUCUAGUUAAGAAGUAUUUUAUGGAAAAAAAUACACAGCAAUGAAACACAGCAAGAAUGUUCCCAGACGUCUGAGUAAUAAAGAAAGAUUUGAAAACAGAGUGAACUAAGAAAAUGCCCGGAGGCAUUACAGCAGAGGUGGAGAGCAGAUAGGGAAAAGGAAGUAGAGAGAAAAUAAGGGAACAUGAGCUCUGGCAUGGUUUCUUGGCAAUGGGCUGGCUGGCAGCUGGCAGCAUCAGGAAAACAGGGGCUCAGUGUUGACUCAAGACCUGGGAAGCUCCAUUUAUUUUCCAGUUGAUUAGGACCAAUGCCAGCAGUCAGGCUCAGCAGGAAGCAGUAAAAUCAAGACUUGUCUCAGAGAAGGACACAUCCCUGAUAGUUAAUGUGUCUGGGCAUGGAAAACCUGGCUUUUUUAUAAUGAGUCCAACAACAAGGCAGGACCAACUGAAGAAAGUGAUGAGAAAGAAAAAUUGACAUUGUUUUCAGAAGUUAAAGUACAUACUAUGACACAGUUACCUCUCUAACUUGUUUCCUUUAGAGACGAGGAUAAUCUAUCAUCCAGUCAAAUCAAAGGCAAAACCUCACACACAAAGGAACCCAGGAAUUCUACUAGCUAAAGCCAACCCAGGGAGCAGCAAGUACAACUCAUAUCAAGGAUACAGUUUCCUCCUUUUCCUCAAUUAAGUUUCAGAAAGUAAAUAGGAGGAGUGAGUGUUCAGAAGCCCCAAGGCUUGCAAGAUGUGAGGAGUGCAUGCUGCAAAUGGUCACGUUCUCAUCGUGAAUUGCUCCCAUCUCAUUAAUGGCAACAAUUCUCUGCCCAUUUCUUUCUUAGGGAACACAUGCCAGGGCACCGCACACCUCUGCAGGCUCAUACAUACAGGACCUCAGCCCCUACUUCCUGGUAAUAUUCAUUUUUUCUUUCCCUUCCAAUGUUUAAUCAUUUACUUGAAGCUUCCCGCUUGCUGCUAAUCCUAUUGUUUUGUUCCUCCAGUAGAACUGCACAGACUUCCACCCACAUAACGUGGCACUAGGCAGACAAAACAUCUGAUAUAUUUUAGUUCAUGCUUGGCAUUCAAUCAAGAAGACGAAGCUGUGAGCCAUGCUGAAAUGCCAACUAAAAUUCAUUUUGCACUACCAGAAAGAGAGAGAGAUGGCACACCGAGGAGAAACUGUAGCCUCAUGGCGAUCAUGUGUAGCCCUAGGCUCUAACACUAGCAAAUUUCUUUCCCUCAAAAUUGAAUUGGUGCAUUUUGAAGUGAAAUCCUGAUGGCUUCUUGUUUACUAUCACACAAUAAUGAGGAAGCUUCAGUUUAUUGGCACGGAGCUCAGCCACUCUCAGACAGCAAAUGGAAAAGAGAGACUAACUUGUCCUGGUGCUUUGCUCCUUGUUAUUCCUUUAAUUGUGUCACAGCCAAUACAACGCAUGAUGGAAUUAUUCCGAAAUAGAGAAACACGUUGAGCCUAGACAUUGACUGUUACAGCGGUGUGGGUGGAGUCCACACAUACUCAUGCCCCCUCUCUUUCCCACAUGCCUGCACACCUGUCUAUUCAGUGAGGGGAAGAUGAGGUCUUGCAGCCCUGGGUGGCUUCAUCUGCCCAUGAGGGUCACUUUUCUCUUCUUGGUUCUUUUACCUCAAAGAUAUUCUGUGAUCACUAUGUGCUGAAAGCAUUCAGCAUUCUUCUGCCUCUGCUCAAAUUAUCACUAGUACUGUUCUUAACAUUUCUGGUCCCACCAAAAUUCAUGCCCAUUUUGUAGAAACUGACCCAAUGUGAGGAUGAUGAAUAAUAAAAAGGAGGUGUGUGUGUGCGUGCGUGUGUGGGUGUGUGCAUGUGCGUGUGUGUGUGUAUCUGGGUAUGUGUGUCUGUGUAUAAAAUCUCAGAAAGAAAUGUUGAAAUAAAUAUGAAACAUUUAAAUUUUUUAUUAUUUUAAAGGUAAUAUCAGCACUUUUUGGAAAACAAAAUAGAAG